rnacentral:misc_RNA from 1 species
UCUCCGUUGGUGAACCAGCGGAGGGAUCAUUACAGAGUUGCAAAACUCCCAAACCAUUGUGAACGUUACCUAUCCCGUUGCUUCGGCGGGUGGCCCGGGCCCCGCGCCCGGCGCCCCCCGGCCCCCCGUGGGCGCCCGCCGGAGGUAAACCAAACCCUUGAAUUGCAUGGCCUCUCUGAGUCUUCUGUACUGAUUAAGUCAAAACUUUCAACAACGGAUCUCUUGGUUCUG